GAUGAACGCUGGCGGCGUGCUUAACACAUGCAAGUCGAGCGGGCAAUUUAUCUAGCACUGAUUACUUCAAAUGGCUAUCGCCAGUGUAAUCAUGAAUUUCUACCUUUAAUAAAGAAAAAGAAAUUCAUGUACGCAAAUAGUGAUAACACAUUUUAGUGGAGUGAUGAGUGCUGGAUAAAUUGCUAGCGGCGGACGGGUGCGUAACACGUGGGUAACCUGCCCCUAUCACUGGGAUAACACACUGAAAAGUGUGCUAAUACCAGAUAACAUAAGCUUUUGGCAUCAUUAGCUUAUCAAAGAAUUUCGGAUAGGGAUGGGCCCGCGUCUGAUUAGCUAGUUGGUGAGGUAACGGCUCACCAAGGCAACGAUCAGUAGCCGACCUGAGAGGGUGAUCGGCCACACUGGAACUGAGACACGGUCCAGACUCCUACGGGAGGCAGCAGUGGGGAAUAUUGCACAAUGGG
rnacentral:rRNA from 1 species